ACGAGUCCACCAAGCAACUGGGCAAGUCACGUAUACAAAGACUGAUUAUCCUACUGAUUCUCUUUCGUCACCAACAAAUACAGAUUCCACUCGAACCGCAUCCGCUUCUUAUACGGAUCUAGCUUCUGAUCUUUCAACUUCCACUAAACUUUCAUCUCCAAACAAUACUCGGGACAUUCCGUUUAGUGUGAUAAUAAAGUUAUAGAGCAGAGUUCGACCACACCCCGCAUAUAAGUUCGUAAGGAUAAGGUGCUGUAAAGCCUUACCACUCUUUUGAAUCUGACCUAUUACUUGCACCAAUACUUAAACAGAAACAGUAACUCCACUUGAGGAACUGCUACGUAGGGGGGGCAUUCGAAAAUAGAGUCAAUUCGGCUUGCAACUUACUUUAGCACAGCUUCCACAGCUUCUGAUCUCGUUGACAACAAAGAAGCAACCAUCUAUUAAUUUCUCACGUUAGUGGCGAGUUACAGAAACAAGGGAUGCUAGUAGAACAGGCAAUUUGGACUUCACUUCCCAAGUUGUUUGAUUAGAAAAGCAAAUGCACCUUAUCCGACAUAGACCAACAAAAAGGGAAGGGCUUCAAUCACAUCAGUGGAAUCGAAAACGGAAUGAGAAGACAUACUCGAGAAAAAAGAGAAGCUCAUAUGCUCAUACCAAACAAAGAGAAAACACUAUGAAAAUCAGAAGACUCGGCUCGGCUCCUUUUCAUAUUGAAUUUACCUAGUUGGAAAUAAGGACUAGAGGGAAUAGCCUACAUGGACGAGAGCACGGAAUAAACUAAACUACCAGACCCCCGUAAUGCAAAUGCAGUACUUAACUUACGGAGCAGUUAGAACCUGAAGAUGCAAAGCGAAAGCGAAUUGGAUGAUGUGGGUGAGCUACUCCUCAGGUGACUCCCGGGUGGGGAGUGACUUUCACUAGCAAAAGAAAAAGCGCCCAUGCGUGUAGCACCGGUUCCGGCGACUCUUUAUAGAUGUUAUUUCCGAUAUCCUGGACUCCAUAAAGGAAUGAACAAAUUACUGAGCUACUAGAAUCAAUCGAAUAUUCCACUGAUGAAUGGAGGCUAAGCCUAUUGAGAACAGCUUACUAGAGCCCACUUUCUUUCACUUUUGUAUCUAUUUCCAUUGAAGUCCUCUCCUGUUCGGUACUAUCCAACUCGGGUCUUCGUGGAAAAGCACACUAUCUUGUAACAACACUUGUUUGCCAGCUUUCCGUUUUCGAAAGAAAGGUGUUUCAGGGCUUUUCCCUGUUUGAUUUCGAUUAGUUAGUAAGUAUAAGAAGGCACUCUAUAGACCUAUAGACUCUCAUAGAUAGAUGCGAAUAGGCGCAUAGGCGCUUUGGUACUCAAGCGAGAAAGGUGGCUUGGCUAGAUUACAUAGAAGAAGCGCGCGUAAGGGAAUCAGUAACCGUUGCUACCCCUGCUCGAGUUUAGGUCAUUGUGAAAUCAUCCACUGCUCUCGUAACCCUUGCUUGGCUCUCUCCUGUUGAUUAUGCCUGAUCUGAUGAUUAGUUAGCUUAGGAUCGGAGGUACAACCAACCGGGUUUUGUAAAACGAGUCCUGUGUUCGGCAACUACUUUUCUAUUUCCUACUCCUGUUACAGUUCUAGUUCUCAAGUCAGCAAUAAGGUAUAGAACAACUUAUUAAUAUGAACCAUAUCUAUAUGAUAAAUCAACUAUAUGAUAAAGUAAAGAUCCAAUUCUAUAAGGGCGGGGGAAAAAGGCAUUCUUUCUAUUCGAACUUGAAACAUAUUAUACCUACUGCCCAGGGAUAGCUUUGAAGAAACUUCCCCGCACACUCCUACAAGGCUCAUCGGCUAUGCAAUCCUGUUCCUUAUGAACUCUUUGAAGGGACAUUAUUGUAUUACAACUUUCCUUCUCUUCCUUUUGUUCCUUUUAUCCCGUUGGUAACUCUAACUCAGACGCAGGUUAUCUAAUAUAUGGGCUCGUUUUCGUGGAUCGAACGAGAAACUCCAACUAGCACAAUUGACUAAGGACAAUGAUGAGAUAAUGAAUUUUGCUGUGCCUUCUGUCUGUAAGAGGAAAGGAACGAAAACAGGUGUAAUUAGGACUGGUUCGAGUCUUGUUGGCACUGGCUGCAUUCUCUCCCUUGCUAGCUCCACUCCUGAUAGUUAGUGCUUUCAGUCUGUUGGUGCACUGUUUGGUUCUUUGCCUCUCCGGAGUCAACUAAUACUUACACAUAGCAUCUUUUAUCUCUUAACUAGCACAUAGCAUCUUUUCUCUUAACUAGCACAUAGCAUCUUUUCUCUCUAACAACUACUGGCUCUGCUCUAACUGGUUCUCUGGCCUACCACCCUAACUAGCAAGUAAGUAAACAAGCCCGACCCCUAGCCUUGUAAUCGAAUGAAACAACUACCCGCAAAGUCAGUCAACAAAGUAAGUCAACUCCUUUCUUUUUGUAUGCCGACCUCCACUCCCUUACCUGUCAACUGGACCACUACUUGAAGGCCCUGUUCUUGAGAUAUAGUAGUUAAGGUUUGAUUCUAUAGUAGUUCCGGAUAACUCCUUUAGCGCCUAAGUCUGCUUAUCUUGCGCAGGGAAGGAUACUCUACUAUACCUUAGUCAACACCUAUAGCUCGUUCUAUUAUACCUUAGUCAACACCUAUAGCUCUGGCAACUGGAAACAAUUCUCAAUUGAAACUCCUUAGCUUCCCUUACUCACUGGAGCCGACUCACUACAAACAAGGAUUACACUAGAGCCCCCCGACACCGAUUCUUUCUCUUAUGACUGCCAAUUACUUAAGGGCAGAUUCCACAGGCACUUGACCUUGAACUGAACCCUCUCUGUAAGGACAAUCACCUCUCUCUCCUUGCAAAGAAAUAUGUAUUCACCCCUUGAAAUUGACUAUAGAGGCCUCUGCUACUGACAACAAUUCUCUACUUCCUGAACCCACCUCUGUUAUUGAUAACUUGACUAGCUUCCUCUCCUCUGGAAACCGAACCCCAUAAUAGGCGCACCCGAGCUCCACUUGAAGAAUAGAAAUAGAACAGGCUAUUCGUUGUCGAUUCUGAAUCCCUAGUUUAGUCUGCUUUCCUUAAUAAGAAAGAAUGCAUUUUGUAUGGCUUUUUGUAUACUGUGUGUCUACUUAUUCGGGCCAAGCGUCUACUAACGAGUUGAAUUCUGUUACUACUUAGUUUGAUUACCUCAUUGGCUGCCUCAGCUACUGAUUCCACUGGACCACUACCUAGCCUAGAUCUACUCUUUGGACCACUACUAGUUGGGGAUGAAACUCUAACCAUUAACAUCAGGGCUGUCUCUUUGAACUUCCACUACUAUACCUUAAUUCUUAUCCGCAUCCCUUAACUACAUAAGAGAAUUCAACCACUAACAACAAGAAUGAAGGGUCGCACUAAGGAAUCAGAGAAGAAUAAGUAGGAGUAGCUCCAUUCUUAGAUGAACUGCUUCAAGCCUUCAACCAGUAACUACAAGUCUUCCCUAUGACCAGAAAACCGAUACUAAGUAUUCCCUAUCUAUGACCAGAAGUCCUAUAAGAUAAGAAUGAUACCUAUGACCAGAAAGCCGCAUAGAGUAUAUUCUUCCCUAUGACCAGAAAGCCGCAUUGAACUACUUCUUCCCUAUGACCAUAAAGCCGCAUCUAAGUAAGGGAAUGUUACUAAGGAGUGAAAGAAUCGAACCGCCAAGCAACGGCGCAAGACGUUGGGCGGCAGCAACAAUAAGAUAUAUUACACGUUAUAAACAAGUCCUUAGUUCGGCAUCUCAGCCUUAAACCAGUCAAUCCAAGGCUUAAACCCAGUAGUCCAAGAACCAAGCAAGUGCCACUCAUUCUUCAACUCGAUCCAAUCAGACACCAACCCUUGCUAACCAGACUCAGGCAUCUAACUAUCAGGCUGAAACAAUUGAGUUACAGACUGAAGCUAAGGAGUCCAAGCCUGAAAGCAGUGCAUCACAGCCUGAGAGCAAAGGUAACUAGCCUGAUGCCGGGUAGGCUCGGAAUGGAGUUAACUCAUUAAAGACUGAUACCGGGUAGGCUCAGAAUGAAGCUGAUCGGUGGAAGACUGAUACCGGGUAGCCAAAGAGUCGAGGCCGGCAAAGAAUGGAACGAGUGAGGCAAAGCAUGAAACCACUCCCACUGAUUCCCUGCAUGUCUAGUUAAGGAAUCCCACCGAUUCCCCGCAUCCUGGUAUUGGUAUGUAAGCCCUCGACACCUAACAACAAGCCUGAACGUGUCUUUUGAUUGAUCAGAAUUGACCUCACUCCAACGCAACUCCAAUGGAUUGAACUAGGGUUGGCAGCUAAGCAAGUAGUAAUGGGGCUGCUGGGCUGCUAAGUUCAAAGAGAUACUCCGGCCGGGCUAGCUCCUCAUGAAGUUACUAGUUAAAGAAUUCCCCCAGUCAGUCUCAGAAUUGCACUUGAUAGUGUCCAAGAAUGGAACGAGUGAGGGCAGGCUUAUGCUGUGUAGUAUGGGUCUCUAACAAGGUAGCUAAGGUCUCCAAUCAGUGCUCCUCGGGCUGAUACCACUGUUGCUAAGGCUUCACUCAGUACUGCUCGGAAUGGAGCUCAGGGGCUUAACUCGCUACCGCGCAACAUUAUACUAAGCUUGGUUAUCCGUGUCUUGUCUAGUAGUUGCUUGGUGCAUCUAGUAAUGGUUCGGGAGUUUACUAUGACCCAAUUAGUAAUAACAUAAUAAUUCCACUUGACUUGAUACGCGCGGCAAAGAGAACUCAGUUAGCACAGAUCAGUUCUAAACUCCCUUAGCACAGAGGUUAUCCUACAUUGGAAGCCCUUAUAUUAAGUCGGAGUGAAAGGCUUAUCGGAAGAUUUGUAAUAGUCUCCUUAGCAACUAGGCAAGAAGGGAAUAGCUACCUGUGAAACUCACUCUCUUACUUAAGUCUAGGAAAGGUUUACUUGUGUUGGUGCUUACGCUCUAACUACUUGCUAUUUCCUAUUGCUUCUACUUCCAUAUCUAUAUUUUGAGUACCUAUAUUGACUAUUGAUGAUUCUUAGCCCGCGGAUCGGUUAAAUAGAAAGUCAGAGGCUUGUAUAGUGGAUCUCGCCCAGUAGAGUCAGCUACAAAUAGUUCUUAAAGUGGAGUGCUUGUGUUAUCGCAUCAAUAAGCCUCAUCCCUUUUCGAAUGAUCAACUGCUUCAGCUUGCUCUGUGUGUGCUGAUAUUCCUUCUUCAGCGUUAGCUGUUCUUGUUUCAUCUUAGAGAUCAGUUCUUGGUGCUUUACCCUACCCUAGUAAUCCUAUAUAGAAGCAGUGCGAAACAGAAUAAACAAGUAUCGAGUAUAAAAGGACACUAAAGCAUAAACGAGCAGUAUCAUAAACGAGAGCAUGGGAUAAGAAAAAUAUGAAAGUCUAGUUUUCUCGUAUAAAGAAAGAAGAUCAGAUCAUAUCAUAUCUUUGCGAACGAAUGCUAUUAUUAGGGCUUAGGCGGAAAUUCAAUCUACACACGAACCCCAUAAAAUGACUUGACUAUACUAACUAAAGGUAGAGGCAGAGAAGAGGUACCUAGUUGUACUGUUCUUGAUUUCCUCGCCCAGCAGCUGGCAACAAGACCUUAAUUAUUACUUGCUUCAUUUAGUACAACCUUUACCUCCCAUUCUUAGUCAUGAUUUCAAGUAAAGACAUACACCGAACAAGUAAUGUUUUCGGCGAGUCAGGGGAGUUGAGUUAGCUUUAGUUUCGUCUCUUUCUGUUCUUGUUGAAUGAAAGUCGUAGCUUGGUUAGUGAAAUACCUGAGUAGUAGUUACUUCUAGUAGUAGUCGUCCUGUUUCACCAGUAUAGUAGUCAAAAGUACAGAGGCAUAGUUUAGGUCGGCAGCAAAUCUUAAUGAAGUUAUAGGAGCUGAGGCAGAAGAUAACUUGAGAGUUGAGAGCGCAGUUACCCUCUAUUACUAGGUUAGAGGAAUUAAUACCUUAUGUACUAGACAAACUACCCGACCCUACUUCUUGUGUUCGCCUUGGAAACUACCCGACCCUACUUCUUGUGUUCGCCUUGGAUUAGUUCUAUUCUAACUUUCACUAUGGAGUUGCCCUAUAUGCAGGCCUAGUAAGGGAAGAAUGGGAAAUAUGAGGUCAAUUCUAAGAUUGACUGGGUUGAUUCUUGCUGGUACUGGGUGAAUUCUUGCUGGUACCAGUUUGACUCUUGUUGGCACUAGCCUCAUUCUGGUUAGCACUUGUUUAAGUCGGGUUGUUAGUGCUUUCAGACUUGUAGUUACUUGUUGUGGAGUAGUCCUAUGUCCGAGGUAGGAAAUGGAGAGCAUGUCUAGCUCUUUUGAAACUAGUUAAGUCUAUUAGUUCAGAGGAGUUGUGAUAAAUAAGAAACCUAUGUGUGUUCUCCCCUAUGUGUGCUCUCCUCUGGCUCUGGCUCUGCGCCCUUGUUUCUUGACUGUAGUAAUGUCUUGGCGGGUCACAGCUAAAUCUCAAUUAAGUGAAAUUCUGAUCUAUUAUACUAUUUCUUAGAAUGCGUAAGAUUUGUAGUAAUUAUGACCAGUGCUCUUCUCCGGUCUUCAACUCUGAUAACUAUACUAGCUCAUCCAAUAACUAUACUAUAUAACUCAGUGCAAGUACUUUAUUAUGUCCCUGAACUCAGACUUAUUAGUUGCAGUCUGGCUUUCCUACUAACAAGUGGAAUUAUUACUCUCCCCUAUUAACGAGUGGAAUUAUUACUGUUUAAGAGCACAUGGUAGGCGAUAGGGAGGUUAUAGCGCUUGUGUGAAGCUAUGAGGGUAAUGUCCGAUAGUUCUGGUAAGUAAAGAGUUUAGCCUAUUGGACGUGGGUGCCCAGUAGUGGUCCUGUUGCAUAAGUAAGUAGGUUGAGAGUAGCUAGUUUCAAUCUUAUUAGUAGUGGUAGAUAGGUCGGGUGCCCCAACAAAGGAUUUCUAGUAGUGUCUUGGCGGAACAGGUAAUGAUUCUGCUUUAGUGUCAUUCUUCUUAGUAGUGGUAGAUAGGUCGGGUUGAAUCCCCAACUAGUAGUUGUCUAGUCCCACAACAAGUAGUUUCGUAGUUUCAUCAGUGAUAGUUUCGGUUUGAUACGAGGUAAAGUACUUGCUUUGUUGCGAGGUGUGGUCCACAGAAUGGAGUUUCUUACUAUUCUACCAGUCCUUUUCAGCACUAACUUAGCCACUUAUAUAUCUGCGAAUCUUCAAACAAGCCCCAAGCCGGGAGUGAUAGUGUCAAGUAAGAAGGAAGGUAGAAAACCAUCGAAUAGGAUUUAGCUAUGAGGGUAGAAAACUAAAGAAGAACACCGGCGUGAGUGACGGGACAAAGGUCAGAAUCUACUUCACAUCAAUUUACUAGGUUUUGGCGAGAGCGAGGUCUCAGCACUCCAGCCUUGAUGAGUUUAUACCUUAGGAGCUGUUGCUAAGGAGUCCAAUCAAUAUUAGUAUAGUAUGCCUUGUGUGACUCAUUUCUGAAUGUUACUCAAAUCUGAACAGAACAGAGAGGGUCUCAGUCUCUCUUGCCUGCUUGCCUACUUGCGAUGUGCUCGGGAGCCAGAGGCGAGGAAGUAUUAGUUGACCAGUAGUAGCCAGUUGCCAUAGGUGGAGUAGCCAUAGGUCAGAGGUGGAGGAGACAGAGAGGGAUUAGCCUCAUUCAGUUAGCGGAGAUGCUCUAGUCCACUGGCUUUGAUGCCAUAAGUACCGAGAGUGGGAGUCGAGGUAGGAAAGGGAGGCAGUUAAGUAAGAAGGAGAGGCUAGAGUUACUAUAGAUAGAUGAGGAACCACUUUCUUAGUUUACAGAGCCAGAGUAGAGUUAUAGGAGCCGAAUGAAGCAAGUAAGUACGACUAAGGUAGUAGCGUGGUAGAGCCUGAGUGAAAAGAGGAAGUCGAGAGGAAUAAAGUAUGGGUCAGUGAAGCUACUUUGAUAUGCGCGUUAACCUGGACUUGAAGAAUGGAAUCUAUCUUGCGCUGAAGCAUAAGAAGGAAAGUCCACUCAAGAAUCUACAGUUAAUCAGUCAGUUAAUCUGUUAAGGCGAAAGUCCGCGCUAAAGUCAGCAGCAAGUGCAAUUAAUAGAGUUGCGGGUCAGUUAAUAAGUCUUGUUAACCUUAAUCGGGAGUUCUUUGAAUGCUAAGGCGCAACAAGUAUCGAUCGUAUAUCAAAGGGUUAUUAGAGAAUCAUAAGAGUCAGAAUAGGUUCAAUGAAAUGAUUCAGGGUUAACUCGCUAGCAGAAGCGCACUGAAGUAGGGUCUCUUUCCGUUCUUGAAAAAGGGAAUGGACUGUUCGACACUUGACAUCAAUCUAUAUCAAGUGUGACUUAUAGAAAUUCCAUUCAAUCAACUAUGACUUUCGAGUGGAAUCGACAAGAUCUUCCGCUUUAGGGCGAGCGAGUGUUGUUGCCCUUACUUAUAACGGUUGGUGACUCGAGAGGAAAAGCACUUGAAAGAGCAACAGUAUACUUAAGCUUUAUCACAAGCACCGCUACUGAACUUAGUCUUGCAUCGGUUGGACCUGCUCCUACUCCCAAUACGCUUCUCAUUCAAUGCUCCUACUCCCAAUACGCUUCUCAUUCAAAGCGCUUAGACCUGCUCCUAUCCAAUAAUUUGGUAACCAAACAUAGCAGAUAGUUUUUCUCACGAAUAGAGGCACCUUCUCCAAAAUAACUCCUUAAGCCCAUUAAUUAAGGGCACAGGACAAAGUAAAGUCCAUUCUUUCUGCUCCCCUACAAUACUUGCUCGUUGAAAGUAGAAAGUCAAGUCUCAAGAUAGCGUUUUGAAAUCCGAUAUAUUCCUGUAGUAGUAGACCGGAUAUUAAAGUAGUCGACGAGACGACCGGCUCCAUCUAAGUGGAAAGUAGUAGACCGGCUCUAAGUGCAUUGUUUUGUUACUAUGUUUCUAUAAGUUGUGCAAAUGACUCUAUAGCGAGGGUUAGGAAUAGCUAGACGAGUUUUAGAGCAGCAAAGAGUAAGCAGUGAGGAGUAAGGGAAGCAAGAAAGCUAGUAAAUAAGAAAUAGCAAAAAAGUGAGUAAAUAAGUAUAAGCAAGAAAGCUAGUAAAUAAGCAUAAGCAAUCUAUUGUAAGUCCACAAGCGCAAGGGCUAAUGAGCAAGCUAGGGAAGGGCGCAAGUAGAACAAGUAACUAAGCAAAGGUAAAACCCAUAAUAGAGAAAUCCACGAAAGGACAAACACAACCACUAAUUGCUCCACCUAGACAACAAACACUGAUUGACUUAGCGCUUCAUCUGUUCCCCUGUAUGGGUACUUUGCACUUCAUCCGUUUUAUACCCAACCAGUAUCUGUACACACACCUAUAUUCAAAAGUUCUAGAGCUAUUAUGUCUAUUCUAUUCUUAAAGAAAGAAACUAGUGGUGCGGUGCAUCAGCAAAGGACUAUAAACUGGAAAAGAACCACGCAGACAAGUGACUAUUUCGGGAACAAGCAAAGGUCCUAGUGAGCGAGGUGGGAUCCUUUUGUAAGUAGUCAUAUGUAAGUUCUCAUAGAAUAUGUAUUUGCACUAAAUGUAAAUGAGGGAAUUGAAGGGUUACUGAGCACUGUCCCUACUGUCCCUACUGCAGCUAGGUUCAUGCUUGACUUUGUUGCCAGUAUCGUUUAGAGUUGCCAGUAUCAUAUAGAGUCGCCAGUAUCAUAUAGAAAAGAAAGGUGCUGAAAGCCUCCGCCUCCGUCCUGAUAGUGCUUAGUCCGCCUAUGUACCUAUUGUUAGAGUCUGACUCCGUCCUGAUAGUGCUUAGUCCGCCUAUGUACCAUUGUUGUUAUUGUCUGUCCAUGUACUAUUGUUGUUAUUGUCUGCCUAUGUACUAAUUUCUAGAGUAUAGGGAAAGGCUGCCUACAUUCGAUUAGAGUAUAGGGAAAGGCUACCUACAUUCGAUUACUUAGAGUCAGCAUCUGCAGUCAUAGGUGAGGAAGCAAGGUAACAACAAGUAAUGGAAGAAAACAUCAUUAUUCUCGUUGUUAUUUGUUAUUGUAGCUUGUUUGUUUUGUUGCGCGUAAGGGAGAUCGCUCGGCCGUGUAGCGUUAGGCUUCUCGCGUGGGGUGCGUUAGUUUAGUUAGUUCCAGAUAGGGAGCUCGGUUAGCUUCAAGUUGAGUGCUUAAGGAGUUAGGUUUCAACAAGCAGUUUCGUUUUGGUGAGGUUUCAACAAGCAGUUUCGUUUUGUAUAUUAUUCUAUCUGUGAUUUAGCAGUAAAGUUCUAUUUAGAUUAUUAUGCUAUCUGUGAUUUAGCAGUGAAGUUGAGCAGGGAAGUUAUGUAUAUUAUUAUUAUUCCAUCUGUGUGCACAGUUAUAUGCAAAUGAAACAAGUAAACAAGCUACGACGCUAGAGAGCUAUGGAGUCAAGUAAGCUGUAAGCCGUGAGUGUAAGUAGUGAGUAAGCAAACAGUUCUUUUCUUUCAAAGGGAUAGUCAGGAUCAGAGUACCAUCAACAAUAGAAUAAGCAGUGUAGCGGUGAAGAAGAGGCGUCGACAAAAGAUGGAUCUGGAGUAGUAGAAUAGGAAAGAGAUGGAUCUGCAGCGAGAAGGAAAGAAAGACUCGUAGAAGUCCCAUGUGUUAAGCAAGUAGUAAAUGAAGUGUUUUUGGUGCUUAGUAGUUACUUGUCUGCGGGUAGUCAAUUCCUAUAAUUAAUAGAAUGAAUAAUAGAUGUAGUUGCAGACACGCAUAACAGGAGUGAAACCCAGCAGUCCAAUAAGUAGUAACACAUAAUGGGUAGCAAGUAGACAACAAAUAGUAGGCUUGCAAGGUAAGAAAAGAGACGAGGUCAACUAAUGAGGAUUAUCAGGCUCACUUUCAUUCUGACUUGCUUCAUUCGGUAACUAGACAUACCUAUUGCUCAUCCACGGGGUAGUCAAUAUAGAACCUGUCUGGUCAGGCAAUUCAACUUACUUGUUUCAUCUUAUAAAUAAGCAAAGCAGGAAGUACUGAGAAUUGUUCUCUCCCUUGCUGAAACUGACUAUAGAGGCCUCCAGUGUUAACGCCUACCCAUCCUCACCAGACUUUAGAUCUUGAGUUUGAUACCUGAAUUCUGAUAUAAUACCUGGACUACUCCUAGUUUCAGGGUCUGGAAACCAACUCUUCUUAGAAAAAGAAUGAAACCUCUUCCGCGGUCAGUCCUUAAGUAGAUUGAUUGAUUUCCUCCCCACAACAACACCGGACCUGGAAUUGGUCAUAGUGUUUUUCCCUUUGCCAGAGCAGCUGGUAUAUAAGUGGCACACAGGACAAAGAUCUUCAAGCCAGCCGGGGAGACAGGUAAUUAUCCAUUUGCUAUCCGUCAAGCAAUUACUGUAUAAGGCAAGGCCAGGUAAUUCAUAAGCUUACUUGCGCACUGCUUCUAUAUGGUAAGGAAUUACUUCAUUUCACUCAUAUGACCAACCCACUCGUACUGUCUCGUCUCCAACUUACUAUAAGGGCCUCUCCAUCUUUACCGCAACACUAUGAUCUAUCUUUUAGGGCAGGGUUCAGAAUGGAAUCAGAUAUUUAUUUAAAAGAAAGAAAGAAAUCCACCAAGCCACUUUUCGAGGGGCGCGGUAGCGCUGUUCCUAAGAUCGAAAGAAAGAAAAGUUGAUAAUUGCCGGGCAACGCUCCUCCGCUGCUGCUAGGGGAGAAAGAGCUACUGUUGCUAAUGUUGCUAAGUAUAUGAAUAGUAUUACUGUUGCUAAGGAGUCAAAGAAAUACUUUCUUUCUUGCCUUACUGAGUUGACUUAUACUAACUGCUUCUUACUGAGUUGGCUUAUACUAACUGCUUCUUGGAAGGUUAUAAACAUUAUCCCGCAUCUGGUACAAAGAUAGAAGAAAUGAAACCACUGUAUGCCCUUAGUCUGCCCUUAACCCCUGGGCUGGGAUACAGUCAAGCAAGAUUUGUUUCCAGUGUGGGAAGUCCCUGUUCCGAGUUGAGUUCACCGUUACAUAUUAGCUUACCCUUACUUGCACGUGAGGAGAGUUAUCGUCCUUUAACAAUUAACAAGUUCAAGCGCUCUUUCGAGUCCUUUACUUUAGUUCUCUAGCUUAUGCUCCUGCUCAAGCUUAUGAUCCUAAUCCGGUUUAUUAGCCUUAUCCUUCUUAUGCCCAUAAUCUCAAUAAGGCAAUCAAUCAGUGACGUGCAUGUGAUAAUGUUGUGUUGUUCCAGAGGUGUUAUCGACCAGAGGUGUGUAUUAAUAAGUUCCCUAACUCGAUAUAUGCGCGCUAAGUGAGAAAGUCGUCAACGGAUUGUUCUGCUCUAGCUCCUUGUAGUUUCAUUGAAGUGCAAAGAGGGUUUUGUCCCGCUGUAGCUGGUGGUAUUGUUGCUGGGUGCUCAAGAGGUUAUUGUCCCGCUUCUGCUGGUGGUAUUGUUGCUGGGUGUGAAAUAGGAAAGGUUCUUUACCUUUGUAAGUUAUACGAGAAUAUCCUUAUGAAGCGAGGUACGGUCGACCAGAGAAUCAGUAGUAACAAGAUCUGAAGCCGGGUAGCUGAGUAGAAAGAAGUCAGUAGAAUCCGUAUUUGUAGCCAGCUGGGUCGAUAAGGGAAGGAGCAGUGGGAUUAGAGUCUAGGCCUCUUAGAAGAAGUAGGCCCUAAUAGGCAGUUUGCCAGUACAGUAGUAUACGCUUGAGGCUGUCAAGAGAGAGUAAGCCUUGGUUUGUUAGAGAAUAGACCAAGCAACUAAGUAAGACGUUGGGCGUGUUAUAAGAAGUUAGAAACAAGUCCUGUGCUCGUGAGCCCUAUAUUUGUUAACUACGGUAUCGGAGCCGAGGGGCAUAUUAGCCAGCCGGAGUUAGGUUAGUUUCAAGAGCAAGAGAGGAUCCAGCAGCAGUCUCAUAAGUAUAGUAGUCUGAUUCUGGUUCUAAAGUCAGGGUAAGGCAGGAAAGAAGGAAUGAGUCUCUGGUAUUAGCACAGGGCGUGUUGCAGCUAGGUGUCGUAGAUAAUGUCCUGCUCCUGCUGAACUUAAGUAAUUGGUUCAAGUAUUAUACCUGCCCCGUGUUACCAAUCCGCAUCGGAGUUAGUGUAUUUGUAAAGGAGUUCCAGAGGUAUCCCAGAUGGAUGAGAAGUGGAAAUGUGUUUUUGAUUUCCCUCCUGAGCGAGGUAUCGAUUAUCAGCCAGGUAAUUGGUACUUUCUCCGGGUCCUGUCAAACCGGAAAGUAGAAAACGGAAUACAGUGAUUAAAGAAGCAAGUCAGAAUAAUGAAUAAUAAUAGGGUAUAUAAUAAUAGGGUAUAUAAGAAUAGUAAGUACAGGUACUCUCUAGCGGAUCUAGUAGAGUCGAUGAGAAAGCUGCUUGUUUCAUCUGUAUUUGUUGCAGUUUCAUCUGUCUUUUAACCCCGAGUGGAAUCAGUCAGUUUUCAUGAAAAGGGAGGUUGGCCAGGAAAGUAGAGGUGUUGAGCCGAGCAGGAGGGCAAUCCGAAGCUAAGUGCUCUGUUUCAAACUAAGUAGUUGUGUGACCCAUAGCUGUUUUCCAACCUUGACACUGGAACUGAACCUGGCUAUGAUACUGCAGGCUGCAGGUGAACUCUUUACUCAAACACAGCACUUGGGUAAGAAACAUCAGAAUUAGCUCUAUCUCCAACAGCAUUAGCUUCUACUUCCGCUAUAGAUCUAGUGCAUUACCCUAUUGAUUAUCUUGCACCUAGGUCUCGCUUAUGUUAGUUGGGCAGCAUCGGCAGUGCAGUAUAGUUGACUUUCCAAUUAAUAGUAAAGGGAAGUCUCCGGACGUUACUCGCCCCUAAAGAGUAUAGUUCACUUUCCCAAUUAAUAGUCAAGGGCAGAUCCAGAUCCAGCAGUUCAAGAUUAUAGGCAUAAAUGCAUUAUAAGGCUAGUUUCUUUGUUUCAAUGAUGGAUUUCCUAUAAGACUCAAGAAGUUAUUAAAUAGUUCAUUUUCUCCUAACAUCUUUAGGGUGCGGAUUCUAAUAAGUCAAAGGAAAAGAAAGUCAUUAACUACCUGGUCCUCUACUAAAGAAGAGAGGCCAAGCAACUCAACUUAAUUGUAUAUCAAGUGCAAAAGAAACGAAAGAAUCAAUUAAUGAUUUGACUGCAGCUAAUGAUUUGACAUGACAGCAGCUAUCGGGUAUGGGUAUCUCGGUCGAAAGGAAUAAAAUAGAAUAAGAACAGAUAUUUUGUAUAUGGCUUUGUUGGUUCAUCGAUCCUGCCCCGGCUUCUAAUCAAUCAUAAAGUAAAGGAUCAGAAGAAGUCUCUUCAGCUGUGGGAGUUAAGUAAAGUUCUGGUGAAGAAUCAGUUGUUUCUGUUUCCCAGAGAUGAAUUAGGAGAAUUGCCUGCCCUUAUUUAAGCUCUGUCGGGGGAGGAAUUACGGAAUUUCCUCUCGUAACUGCUCCUGAGUCUGGGCUUGUUCCUUCUUCUUUACCAUCUGGGCUUGUUCCUUCUUCUUUACCAUAUAUUAGUAGAUACUAAACUUCAACUUAAGCUUCUACUUCAACUGGAACACUGGCAUUCCACAGAUCAAUAUUAAGCCCGGCUUGAGGAUACAGAUCAGAAACCGAAGAAUAGACUGUUUGAGUGAAGUCGAUAGGUAUGGGAGAGUAUCUAGUAGAACCCCCAUGCUAAGGGAGUAGUAACAAGCACCUCUGCAUUAACAGGAAGUCUAACCUCUUUACUAAGUAAUAAAGUGUUCGUCGAGCGUCAGGAGUGCAAGGGGUAGAAAGUCCAGGUAAAGUUCCUUAUAGAAAGAAAAGCAGAAAAGAAGUAAUUGUUUCCUAGGCUCGGAAGGGAAGGUAUCAAAACCCUAGUAUUGGAAUAAAACAAGCAAUUCCACUGGAAUUAAAGAACCUAGUCAUCUAUUCCGGAGUUCAACUGUAUUCAAGGCGGCAGCAACAAACUCUGGCUCUGGCACAGCGGAUUCUAUUACUUGUUGAAACUGCUUCCUCACCGGAACCUAUCUCGGUAGACUUAGAGCUAAUUACUUGACUCACUCGCAUACACUUAGGGUGCAAAGGGAAAGGAGGCUAAAGCAAGCACAGGAUCGGGCCAAGAUACUAUUCAUUUAGCCGGGUAAAGCUACUAUUCUUUUACUGACUAUUCUAUUCUAAGGUAUUAUAUAUAUAGAAAUAGGGGACAAUUAAGAGAAAACGAACACUAGCGGCAGGUGUUUGACUGGGAAAAGAAUAAACAAGACUCGAGCUAGGUAAGUAAGGGGUAAGUCCAGAUAGGUGGCAAGCGGGUAUCUAGGGUUCAAGUAAGGUUCAGGCUAUGAGCCAAGGAACUAUUAGACGUCAAAAGCUACUACUAGAUGCAGAGAAUCAGUAUCAUAUCCCUUACUUAUACUCAGUCAUAGGAGAAGCAGACCGGUCCCUUAUUCUUAUUAUCUUAUUAGUAGAUCCAUUAUUCUUAUGUACUAGAUCUUAUGAUCGGAGUGGGAAUGGGAAGAAAGAGAAUCCCCAGGUCCAGUACUAAGGGAAGAAAGAGAACCGUAGUGCUAGUCUAGGAAAGUUGCUAGGGUAGUGGACUGACUUAGUUGACUUACUUGUUAGGCUGAGGAGAAGUAGAUGAGAGUCCUUUUCCAGUUAGAAAGUGAGAAUGAUACUAAGAAGUCAUAAAGUAGGAGACCAACUCAUGGUGUAGAAUAAAAGAAUGGAACUAAGCACAUAUAGUAUAGGAGUCAAGAGUUAAGGUAUUCAAUAGUGACUCCUGUUCCAGCCCUAUAUUAAGUUGAAGAGUUGAAGAUCAGAGAACAUUUGUAGUGACUUGGCGCAUCUAGUAGUAGUAGAGUAGUGGAAUCCCCUUCAUUAGGAGUAGAAUCCCUUUAAGUACAGCUCCUGGUGGUACUGCCCCUGGUAGUCCUGUUCGAGUGUGAGUUUCAGACCGGUUAGUACUUGUUACAGAUGCAGAGUUGCAGACCGCUUUGUGUCCCUUAGUUACAGGUAGUUUUCGGAGAAGAAGCAAUGAAAUCAGCCUCCCCGAGCCUAGUCCAUAAACUUAAGGGCUUUGGGCAAUUAAUACCUGAUCUGAUGUACUAGAUGCUGGCCUAGUCCAUAAACUUAAGGGCUUUGGGCAAUUAAUACCUGAUGUACUAGAUGCUGGCCUAGUAACAGACUUCGGGGACUCGAUACUGCCAUACUAUGGUUUCAAUCAAUAGGUGUGUGUUGCCCCGGCCCGGAGAGUCCUUAGAGUGUUUUUACUUACUUCUAUAAUUGGUGUACCUGCACAAGUGUCUUAUUGCUGCUGAACCCGAAGCUACCUGCCUAAUUCUUGCUAUAACCCAUCUUAGCCUAGCCUUCCCGGAGACUAUUCUGGAGGACGCCCUAGAUUCUUAUUCCUCCGUGCGAACGGCCUUGUCUUGUGUUUAGUUCGAGAGUGAGUCUGCCCCUAUUUGCUUUCAAACUGACAUUGCUUUAUCCGAUUCUUGCUACCUGGACUUGGAUUCUUUAGUUCGAUUGCUGGUCUUACGCUCCCUGCUUGAAGUCUAUAUCUCCUUGUUCUCAUCAAUGGUAUAUUCAAUCGGCCAACCUUUACUGCUUAAGUACUUUUGGAUUCUCAUCUUGAAAUUGCUCUCUCUGUCUUUACUGUCUAUUAGUACUUAUUUCCGGACGAAAUGAAUACGAGUAAGAUCCACUAUCUGGUAAGUUAAGCUCGAGCUACUGCGGGUAAUUCUAAGAAGUAGCAUAACAUAAGAGGAGUUGGCUUCUGAUCUCCCAUCCACGGGCAUAUUCUUGCACUGAUAGAUUGAAUUCUUUGACUUAUUCAUUGGAUUCCCUUUUUCAAGUACUGGUUUAGUUAGCCAAUCCUUAUUGGCACUAGGUAAAGUCUGAGAAGCACUGGUUACAAUAUUGAAGUUAGUGGAUUCAUUCUCAUUGGCAUAGUAUCCAUUUUCGUUGUCAGUAGAUGCAUUCUCUUACUUAUGGAUGAAAUUGCUCGUCAGCAGAUCGAGUCCUAUUGGCAUUAGUCAUUGGGGGUGUCUUAUCAAAGAAUUAGAGAAAGCGGUACAAGACCCUAGCCUAAACUACGGAAUUAAGGUGAGUAAGAGCUGCCUUGGGAACACUUAUUCCAUUCUAGAUUCUAUAUGGAAUAAAGUAUUGUGGUAGACGCUAGUUGGGCUUAGAAGCAAGUCAAGCAAGAAUCAAAUGAGUAUUUGUGGAACAUAGCAUUAGUUUCACUGGUUUAGGGGCAUAAUCCAGAAUGUUAAGGUCCGGGCCAGCGCCAUCAACUAAUAAAGAAAUAGCUAAAGGCAACAGUAGAAGAAUAGGUAGUGGAGCAAAUGAGGGGGAAUCGGAGGUCAAACAUAGGAAACUGCUCGGAACACGAAACAGAGCAUAGGAAUCGGAACAAACAAUAGGAAUAGGCCCCCACACAAAAUGAAUUGAACUCAAUGCAGAGAUCUUAUGUUUUAGCCUUCCUUUCCUCCUAGUUAAGAUAUCCUGUGCUUUACUCUUUCUAUCGAGUUGGAUUCUUGUGUUCCCUAUGCCGCCUUGCUACUUGAGAUUGGGUUCCUAUCCGGAGUCUCCUUAGAUGCAUCCUUCGUUGUAGCUUCGGUCUUCCACUUGAUGUUUCAUUCCUUUUCCGCCGGAGCUCAACUCUAAUUAUAGAAUGUAUUUCUUUCCGGGGGCCUAUUAAGUAUCUUUGUUUCUAGUUUGAAUAUUCAUGUUCAGAAUGUCAUUUGAUAGCACUAGGACUCGGUUGGUGGACAAGAAAGGGAGAUAGGUUGGGCAAGAAGUAGGUCAAUUAUGUAAGUAAGCUUUUUUCUUAUCUGUUGGCGUACUAUUGAGUGAAAUCCAGUUUCAAAGCAAGCAGCGGUGCCAGGUGGUUAGUCAAAUCCCUAUUCCCAGUAUUCGUUUGUAGCCAGAGUAGAGGUGGGCAAGGACGGAAUUGCACUCAUAAGUGAGGAUACCCAGGCGCGGGAUACGAGCUAGGUCAGUAUAGGACUUCUGCUUUUUGACUAGGUCUAGUAUAGGACUUAUUGUUGUAAUAGUCAGAAUCAAAGAAGUAAAUAGCAGAGUGAAAGCAUAGAUCGAGAGCCUUGUCAGCGGCAAUUACAGGUUGAGUGGCCCGUCCAGAAAGCAAUACUAAUGGACAGUAAGGGAAGAGUUCAAGGUACGAGCUAAAGGCGUUGAAGCCUGUAGAGGAAGUUUGAAACUCAUAAGUCAGAAUAGAAUCACAGACAAGAAAGAGGGGCUCUUAGUUAAUAGGUAGUAAGCCAGUUAGGCAGUUGUUUUUGUCUUGUAUUAGGUCCAUCCCUUCCAUCAGUAGUUACAUUCCGAUAGUAGUGUCAGCAUCCUUAUGGGUAAGCGUUAGUAUCCAUUCUUGGGUCAGUAGCAUAUGCCCCACAGAGAAAUUCUUAUCAUCGUUAGUUGGAUUAUAGGGUUUCGAGUUAAGGCCCUAUUUAUCCGUUCAGUCUUAGAAGCAAUGACUAUGUCCUGUAUUCUUGUAUUGAUUUAUUAGAAGCAGGCUUGGAAGCGAGGAGUACGGCUUGGCAUUACAUAUAUUUGAUGGAUACAAUAAGGCCUGGACUGCUCAGUGACAUUAUAGGUCUUAACAGCCUUGUAGUGGAGACCAGUAUAUAGUUAUGAGUUGGGUCACACCCCGUAAGAGAGGUAAGUCUUUAAGCAGCAAAGCAAGGUAAGCGUCAGCUGCUGGGCUGGCAGCAGUGUUUCAAGCCAGAGUCGAGUGAUUAGUGGAAGUUUACCCUACCUAUGAGCCUUACCCUCCUUUCUGAAAAUCGAAUAUUCCUGUCUGCCAAGUAACUACCAGCGGGACCAGUUCUUUAUUUCACUAGUUAGCUAGUUGGUCUGCCUCUCCUCGUGCUCAUUCUUACUAGAAUGUUUCUUAGGACCAAGGCCAGUGUAAGAAGUAGCUCUGGUUUUCGCGCUCAAAAGAUUCAGCUAACGGUAGGGCGCUAAGCAAUAAAAAUGACUGUCCUCUGGUUUACUCGGAACAAGAAAGAGUGAUAGGAGCAAAAAAGAUUAGAUGCGAUCCAAAGUAGAAAGAUUCCAGAAAAGUAUGACUCGGAACAAUAAGUUGAUAAGCUUGUUACCUUAGCGCUUACUGAGCUCGGGGCGUUUCACCUAGACUUGAUAACUGGCGCAAUUCUUUAGCUUACUUACUUGAAAACUGUUUAUGCUGACUUCACUUUAUACAACAGAACACUACUUGCUGCUUCCUUUGGCACUGUUGAUUCAGUUGCUCCUUCUAAAGCUUCUUAUCCGGCUGGCUUCUGCUUGAACUGAGGAUUCUGAUUCUUUCGUAGACUCCACUUUUGUUAGCUAUACUGCAAAGAUCAAGAUCACAGGAACAAAAACACCACUUAGAUCUGGAACAAGAUCGGGAUCUGGAACAAGAUCGGAUCUGGAACAAGAUCGGGAUCAUCAUAAAGUACCUGUUUUGAUGCCCUAAGUUGUAGAUAGAGGAGGGGUGCUUCUGAAGCUAAUACAGUUUUAGUACGGUUGACAGUCGGCUUGGCUGAGUUCAAUCUAUUUAUUGGAAUUCUUUGUUUCAAGGGGAGCUCAAGUGAGCAGCACAACUGUAGGAGUGAGUUCAAAAGGAUCCUAUCCCCGGGAUUCCUUCUUCAUUUUACCAAAUCUAACACACAUGAGUGGAAUAAAUGUCAAUUAAGCUCAAUCGGAGCACUCAUCGUAGAGAAAGACAGGCGGGAAACAUUUAGCGGGGCGAUUCCUUAAUCUCUAAAUGGCAACAUAGGUUUAGGGGCAUUUUCCAAUGGGAAUAAUCUAAUAAUACCCUUCCAAAGGAGCAAACACUUUUCAAAAAAGGAGAUCGAACCACUGGGAUCUGAUACCUGGCUCUAUAAUGGGUUUCCCAAGAUCUUUUUCUUCCUUGGCUCUAAUAGGUUUACCUGGCUCUAAUAGGUUGGAUGAUCUUUUUCUUCUAUUACGGGGUGGGCAUGACAGCUCCUAAAAGCAUUCUUUUCUAUCUUGUACAUGACAGCUCCUAAUAGCAUUCUUUUCUAUCUUGUACCCAGUACACAGAAUACCAACCCCAUCUCGACAAAAAAGUGGAAUCGAUUCCAUCAUUCAAGUCGGAUAGCUCUACUAAGACCUACGUGAAAAGCUUUCUUCUCUUAUGCAAGAUUGAAUAGCAAACUAUGGUUAUUUCAAACACCGUAUACUGUCCCACCAACUGAUCCUUGGGUUCAUGCCGCACAGAAACCUAGACCUGAUAAGGAGGCAGUAGGAGAGAGUCCAGCAUAACGGAAAUCAUCUAAGCCGACAAGGACCCGGAGGAUGCUGAGGAAGAAGGCUUCCGUUCUUCUCUUAGGAAAAUCCAGACUGCAGCAGAGAAGGCAACCAUUAGGUUGGUGAGAUGGUAAAGUACCCAGCGGAAGGUAAGGCUGGGAAAGACCACAAUACGCUGGAGAAGGGAAAGACCUCGUCAACUCCGUAUUCUUAUUAGCUUUCUUUCAGGCUCCGAAAGCUGACCUGAUGGAGGAAUACUUUCCGGGAGUAAAGCAGUCAGACCCGAAAAUGAGCUAAAGUUCAAAUGAGCCAAAGUUGCAAGUGUUGUUAGGUAACUUACCUUCUAAGGUAGAUUGCAAGAUGGAUGAUCCUUACUUUCCAAAGAGAGUUAAUGGCUAAAACCAAUCAGGAUCAAUCUUAGGAAAGGGAUGUGGUAUAUACUCUGUAAGCUUGCCAUUAGGUAGUUAUUCCAAAAGUGCCCCGAGGCAAUGUCAAUUGAAGAAGGAAGGUUUUUCUCAUUAUCACUGACGGUCUAACCAAGGAACUAAGUUUUGGAGCUUACCCGUUAUCCAGGUCUGUUAUUAGGAUAGGACGGAAGUCGGGGCACUGCGCUUUAUCUCUUUAGCAGUGUGCUUCUUCCCUUCUUAAUGGAUCGGUCAAGCUCUUCUUAUCUUUCUAACUUGCCAACUUAGUUCCCGACUCCUUUAGCUCACCCUGCCACUCCAAACUAUAGGUUAGGCUUCCACUCUUAACUAUCAUACUAGAAAUCCUUUCUGGCAUCCCUGCUCGUUCGUUUGACUCUUCCCUUCCUAACUCGCAUUCCCAAACGACUCUAUAUUAGACUAAACCCAUGGACAGGUAAUCAAACACGGACUAGCAAGACAUAGCUAUACAAAAAAGAAUGGAACCGCUGCUACAAAGGAUGAAGCCGCUACUGAUAGGAGUCAAAUACAUAAUGGAGAAUCCGGGAAAGCAGUAGAAUACUCGAGAGCCACAUAAGCAAUAAUGAAAGUAAGGGAACUUAGAGUGAAAGGGGAGAUAGUCAGCCUGGGAAACAGUGGAUAAGGCCGGGGCUGAGUCUGGUACGCGCACAGUAUCAGGUGCUAGUGUUGCGAGAAGUAAAGUCAAGUUUAGUUACUACGCGUGGGGAUAGUCUGUUUUGAAACGAAGGAGUAUGUUUUGAAGCGAGUAACCGACUAGGGAAGGUAGCUACCUAUAAAGGGAAUAAUCAUACAAGAAUAGGGAAUGGAAAACAUAACAUAUGAGUCAAGUACGAGUGAGGAAAGGAGUGGUGCUUCUGAAGCGCUAAGCAUAUUUCUUCUCUUCAACUCCACCACUUGGAGCUAUAGCGGCACAUUGUGGUCAAAGUCUUACGCACAUUCGCCUCGGGUGCCUUAUAGUACCUUUCUCGUAGAUAGUCUCAGUGAAGAGCCGACCAUUCUAUGACAUUUCUCCCCCGUUGGUUAAAGCAGUGCUCAAAAAGAGAUUUGCCAGUUCACAAAUCAAGAAAGAAAGAAUGAUUUCACAGGCGCUUAAGGCAAUAAGUAUAAGAAAGCUCUCUCUCUCUUUUGAAUGAAGAUAUAUAUGAUAAGAAUUCCUUAUUUCUAGGCUAGGCCUUAUAUCUUUCUAGUUUGUUUCAGUCGUGGCCGGCUUGGCUUCUUCUGUUGUUAACACCACUCUGAAGAUGGGUUCAACUAAUCAAAUAGCAAAUCACCCAUUGAGCUAUCCGAAAACAGAACUUGCACCAACCGAAAUAUAAGUUCCGGAGCAGAACCACUUGCGCCAAUCGAGUCACCUACCUAACCUAACAUUGUUCUUUUUGAAUGGAACAGCUUACCUUUUGAAUUGAAUGAAACCGCUUGCCGCUGACACGGAUUCUUCUCUCCUCUAGUCGUCAAUACCUUUCCUUUCGGGAGACCUUGUUGAUUAUGAAUUCUGGAAACUUAUGGAAUUGAGGCAGACGAACCUUACCUUUACUUGUUCCGGCAAACGCCAAUCGCUGGGGAAAGAGCUGGAUCAUAAGCGCGAGGAAGUUUUCUCUUGAGUAGGAACAAGAUCUGAGGGGGUUCUAAUCCGCAUCUGAAUACGAAGCUUUAUCCGGAGAGAGAGUGGAAGUGGAAAGUGCUUAAAGCACCGGUGGAAAGUGCUGUUUUAGUCGUCGGGAGCUGGUAUUUCAUCCGCUUUGGGAAUCACACUUCAAUAACAAGAGUUUGCCUUGGCUGGAAGAAAGGGAGGGUCGUUUAGGAAAUGCCCUGUUAGGAAGUGAAUCAGAAGGGCUUGCUCUCGAAGAAGCAGUUUGGGGAAUAUCAGCAGUUAGGGUAAUAUAAGCAGUUAGGGUAAUAUAAGCUCCUGGUAGACGGUUUGAGGGAAGUGAACAAAUCAAAUAGUAGUCAAAUAAAAGGAAGAAGAAAGAAAGAUUAUGAAACUCUAAAGAGAAGAGAGCCAAGUAAGUCGAAGUGAACCAUUGGCCGAAGCGAGCGGUAUAACACUAACCAAGUCAGAGGGAAGAAGGAAGCAAUACAGUAGGGGCAGACUAUCUUGCUGGCAAGGAAGCGAAGCUUGUUGAUUUUGUAUGGAAAUUCGUAGUAUAGUUAGUUAUCUGACCCUUACCAAGGCUAGUUCUCUCCCUUAUAGUGAUCAAUGAACUUUCCAUUCCAAAUGGUACCGAAACCAUUGACUUUGUUAUUAGGGAAAAUCGGGUUGCAUCAACCCCGGUAAAAGGGCUCCUGCCUCUGUUCACUUAUGAACCUCUGUAACUACACAUCACUUCUAGCCUUGACUUGGAAAUCCCCCUUCUUGCCCUUACUCUCGAGAAUUGCCUGUUCGACACGACUGAAUGGAAUUUCUGAAUUCAAUCUAGCUAUCCUAAUAAUUAAGAUAGUAAAAACACAGCAUAGCUUCCCAAAUAGACUACUUACUCCAAUCUUUCUUCCCAAGGAGACUACUGACUACAAGAAUAAUAACUCUAAUAUAAUAGACUUCACUUAAGAAUUUCAUAUAAUAAACAUAUUCUAUAAGGAAGUACAAAAUAAGGUCAAGUCACCUAACUCGAAAUCAUAUUUGAGAGCAUUCUUCCUCAUAUAGAAUAGAUGAAAAACACAGCAUAGCUUCGUUUACUAUUUGAACACGAGUUUGGGGGGGGAUAUGGCAUAUACAUGAUGUGUAAGUUGGCUGACUUCGUGGCUGCUCGCCUCCUGAGAUGAUGCUUUAGUUUGCUACCUUACGGAUCUUCUUAAACAAGGAAGGAAGGAAGCGAUAGUCUUAUAACCGGCUGUUCUUCUUAUCUUUGUGCACCAUAAAACUCAUUCCAAAGAGAAUCUGAAAGCGAGUGCGAGAGGAGAGAUCUUUCAUGCAUUGUGGUAGAGUGGAGGUCUUUCAUGCAUUAAUAACCAAAUAUAGAAAUAGUCUAUGUCUGUCGUAGGCUUCUAGUUCUUUUCGGGAAAGGCUUGCUGCUAGCUGGGUUUUCUAUCAUCCAAUCCACAACAAAUCAAAUGAAACUGCUUAUAUGGAUUCAAACCCUUGUUCUCCGUUCUCGCUCGCCACUACUGUCCUCUCCGAGUCAUUUGGUUGUGUUGUAGGUAAAGGCCUGUCGCUUUCAAAAGUUCGAGUCCAACUGUUUUACUAGCCAAAAGAAUGGGAAGACGCCGACCAUCAAAUAAGAGAUUGCGCCCCCCGAUUAGAAUGUUAGUAAAAUACUUGAAAGCAAAUACCCUUUUUCACCACCCUGAAACUCGGAAAAAUAUGAUCUCUUAUAUCUAGGCCCGGAAAAAGAAAAUAGGAUCUCUUUAUAUAUACAACCUAAAGAAUAAGGUGGUAAUCAAGAAAGAAUGCGUGGGGGAACAAAUCAAUGUAACUCAGAGUAAACUUAUUCGAGAGGGCAAUCAGUGUGCUAGGCUCUGCUUUCAAGCCUUAUAGAAAAGAACUGCUUCACGGUAUCCUAUUCAAUCCAAUAUAUAAAUCGAAAUGAAUGGCACUAGUCUCUUUCUCCGAAAGAAGGAGGGAGAGUAGGCGAAGAAAUCCCUUGAGCAAACGAUAGUAUAGCAAUGAACAUAGAUAGGGAUGAUAUUUAUUUCAUCCCAGAAGAAGAAUAUUGGGUAUGGGGCAGAGUGGACAGAGGUCCUCCUUGGCUAGAUUCUCGGCAUCUCAGAGCUCCCCACUCUUCAAUUCUUAUGGAAUAGAAUAGGGUUUAUUAAGUUCACUAUUCCAUUGCUGCAUUUCUAGGGCCUCCAUAAACGGCCUAUCCCAUUGGAAUAUUAGUUUGCCUAUAGAUCAUUUGACAAAGUGUGAUCCGCACCUACGAAACAUAUUCUGGAGCGCUUAGGGCUUUCGACGUUGCCCACGUAGCGGUAGCACCUAGUUAUUUCAAAGAGAAUGAAAUGAGAACAAACAAGCAAUGGAACUAGACUCUGUACUAAUGUUCGCUUUUGGGCCUUAGUAUAGUUCCUUCAGUUCGAUGUUUGUGAGUUGCGCCUUAUCUUACUUAUACUUGUGUUCCGUAUCUUUCGCCAAAGUGCUAAUGUUAGAGUUAUAAAAAGAGAGAAAUGAAAUGAUUCCAGAAGUGAAGUAUUGUUAACAAUUGAAUGGACCAAUUGAGGUGAUGGGAUAACGGGGAACAGAUGACCUGACCCGCCCGCUACUUAUGGCGUGCUUGUUACAUUUAGUGCCAGCACUCUAACCAGGCAAAUACCUAAAACUCCAACUGACUGGGAUAGAGCUGUUUUCUCUUGAUGGCAGAGAGUAGGGCCCUUACUUUGCCUUAGUUUUUUCCGAUAUGUGUACGAGGUUGGCUUGCGGAGCAUCUUCUUUUGAGCAUAGGAACCCGACCUUGCUAUCUUUCUUUCGCCGAUUGGAAAGGGCCAAGCAACUAAGUAAGACGUUGGGCGGCCUGAGUCUUAUGCUUCGAACAUAGGACUUGGUCAUAUGAGUGAUAUUCUGUAUCUGUUGUCAGCAGGGUUCUCAGUCAACUCUAUUCUUCUCACGCUUAUGAUCUAUAGUAAUCCGCUUCCCUUACAUUCGACUAAGUAAGCCAAGGUGCAAGUCCAGCAUCGGUAGCUACUUCAUCCAUUUCAACUAAGUCUGGGCAUGAGGCUUUCUUUCCGGACUUUGAAUAUACUUCUUCUCUGCUGGAUCACUUUCAUUCUUUGACUCACUGGUUGAAUUCUGAUAUUGACUACCGAGCAGCUUUCUUAUCUACCUCGCCUCUGGAAACCGAACCCUAUUAUAAAGCUUCUUCUUCUUAUUCUUUACCUGAACAAGUAUACUUUCCUGGCAAUCCUACUAAACCAGCGUAAGCGAGACAAUGACCUGAACCUACUUCGACUUCUCCUGCGGAAAGACAAUAAGGACUUUGGGCGGAAGAAGCACCUAUCUCUCCACGACCUCUCCUUGCAGAAUCGUUUGCUUAUGAUCUGCCACUUAGGGCACAGUUGAGAAAAGUGCUUAGCGAUGAGCCUUUCUAAGUUUUCAGCAGUCAAAAAGUAAGCUCCAAGCGGUUUUGAACUUCAAGUCGGUGCAUGAUUAAGUUGGGCAAUUAUCUAAGCUAGGCGGGCGAUACCUUCCCUUUGCCUUGCGUGCCUAACCAUCUAGUUCAAAAGUGAGUUCAAAAGUGAUGAUAUAAGGAAAGAUAACUGAAUAAGUUUCGUAAAAGUAGUCAACAGCUGAUCUACCUGUGGCUCAUCUCUUCUCUUUCUUCCCUUGCCCACCUCCUAAACUGCUUCCCGACCCGACCUGUACUAAGAAACUCCCUUGCAACUCUAAUUAAAGUCACUUCUUGUCUUCCCCUCGCCUCUCCUCUUGCGCAUCCACCUCUGUCAAUAAAGAAUGAAACUCUCAAUACACCGCUUCAACUCCCUUUCCCCUUAGCCGAGUCAACUAAUACUAAUCUGUCUUUGCUACUCGAUAAGAUGCUUGAUCUGAUUCCAAAGAAAGGGAUGCCUGCCAGUCAGAUUCCAAAGAAAGGGAUGCAGACCAAGCCGACAAGACGACAAGAAACGCAGCCAAGUAGAGUAGUUCACUUAGUCACUAAUGCGAUAGAUCUAUCCCUGAAAUACAGACCUGUUGCUUCCGCUGACGGUAUAGUUUCAAUCUGGUGUUACAAUAGAAGCAAUAACCCUCUUCAACCUUAUUCUAAUGCAAUUGAAAGCUGGUUUCAUCUCCUCAUAGGUCAUUUCCCAUAAAACUCAAUAAGAGCUGUUAUAGUGCAUUUAUUCCUAACAUCUUGAUGGUUCGACUUCACCUCUGGCUCUGUCAACUAAUAGAGUUAUUGCUCUAGUCUACUCUGUACUACUCGUAUACUUGUUUGGGCUGUAAACCAUGGCUAUCCGACCUAAACUCUCAGUGAAGCUUACCUCUUACCAGUGCCUUACCUUACUUGAGAACAGAAACAGCUCUUUCAUCUUACCGGGGAAGUGGAAUUCUUUGACUACUGAGGUUCAUUCUGAAAUGACUUAUUCCUAGGUUUGAGUUCAAUUAUGAGUCUACCCGGCUUCAUUCUAACUUUCCGUAUUCCUAGCGGCCUAGUUCAUUCUGAGUGAUAUCGGUUUGAUUCUCACUACCCUGGCUUUAAGGCUGUUACUCUUUAGGUCAAUUCUAACUAUACCUAGCAUCUGAGUAGCACUGGUUGCAUUCUGAGUCUGCUUAGUCCAUUACGAGCCUAUCCGGUUUCAGCCUUGGAUGCACUGGUUGAAGCCUGCCCAGCAUCGGUAUCAGUCUGAGAAACCUAAGCAUCAGUCUUGGAGUUACUGCUUUCAGGC
rnacentral:lncRNA from 1 species